rnacentral:rRNA from 1 species
AACGCGAAGAACCUUACCAGGCCUUGACAUCCAAUGAACUUUCUAGAGAUAGAUUGGUGCCUUCGGGAACAUUGAGACAGGUGCUGCAUGGCUGUCGUCAGCUCGUGUCGUGAGAUGUUGGGUUAAGUCCCGUAACGAGCGCAACCCUUGUCCUUAGUUACCAGCACGUUAUGGUGGGCACUCUAAGGAGACUGCCGGUGACAAACCGGAGGAAGGUGGGGAUGACGUCAAGUCAUCGUGGCCCUUACGGCCUGGGCUACACACGUGCUACAAUGGUCGGUACAGAGGGUUGCCAAGCCGCGAGGUGGAGCUAAUCCCACAAAACCGAUCGUAGUCCGGAUCGCAGUCUGCAACUCGACUGCGUGAAGUCGGAAUCGCUAGUAAUCGCUAAUCAGCAGGUAGCGGUGAAUACGCUCCCGGGUCUUGUACACACCG